rnacentral:rRNA from 1 species
UACGUAGGGGGCAAGCGUUGUCCGGAUUUAUUGGGCGUAAAGAGCGUGUAGGCGGCCAUACAGGUCAGCUGUGAAAACUCGAGGCUCAACCUCGAGACGUCGGUUGAAACCGUAUGGCUAGAGCCCGGAAGAGGAGAGUGGAAUUCCCGGUGUAGCGGUGAAAUGCGCAGAUAUCGGGAAGAACACCCGUGGCGAAGGCGGCUCUCUGGGACGGUACUGACGCUGAGACGCGAAAGCGUGGGGAGCGAACAGG